rnacentral:misc_RNA from 1 species
AACAAGGCGUACCUGCGGACCUGCGGAGGGAUCAUUACACAAUACAAUAUGAAGGCUGUCCGCAGCUGGAGUAUUUUAUUACCCUUGUCUUUUGCGCACUUGUUGUUUCCUGGGCGGGUUCGCUCGCCACCAGGACCACCAAAUAAACCUUUUUUAUGCAGUUGCAAUCAGCGUCAGUACAAACAAUGUAAAUCAUUUACAACUUUCAGCAAUGGAUCU